rnacentral:snRNA from 1 species
GCAUGUGAGGUCUCUGGCUACAGCUGUCCCCUGCUGAGCGCCAACAGUACUUGUGCUGACCUGGCUGGCAUGGUGGGUGUCCCCUUUCUCACCACUCCAGUGCUGCCCACCUGAAGCUGGGUUGCAGAAGACGACCUUCCUCAACACAGGGCUGUUUCAGUCAGGCAUGUGCA